GGGUUGUGAGGUUAAGCGACUAAGCGUACACGGUGGAUGCCCUGGCAGUCAGAGGCGAUGAAGGACGUGCUAAUCUGCGAUAAGCGUCGGUAAGGUGAUAUGAACCGUUAUAACCGGCGAUUUCCGAAUGGGGAAACCCAGUGUGAUUCGUCACACUAUCAUUAACUGAAUCCAUAGGUUAAUGAGGCGAACCGGGGGAACUGAAACAUCUAAGUACCCCGAGGAAAAGAAAUCAACCGAGAUUCCCCCAGUAGCGGCGAGCGAACGGGGAGCAGCCCAGAGCCUGAAUCAGUGUGUGUGUUAGUGGAAGCGUCUGGAAAGGCGUGCGAUACAGGGUGACAGCCCCGUACACAAAAAUGCACAUACUGUGAGCUCGAUGAGUAGGGCGGGACACGUGGUAUCCUGUCUGAAUAUGGGGGGACCAUCCUCCAAGGCUAAAUACUCCUGACUGACCGAUAGUGAACCAGUACCGUGAGGGAAAGGCGAAAAGAACCCCGGCGAGGGGAGUGAAAAAGAACCUGAAACCGUGUACGUACAAGCAGUGGGAGCACGCUUAGGCGUGUGACUGCGUACCUUUUGUAUAAUGGGUCAGCGACUUAUAUUCUGUAGCAAGGUUAACCGAAUAGGGGAGCCGAAGGGAAACCGAGUCUUAACUGGGCGUUAAGUUGCAGGGUAUAGACCCGAAACCCGGUGAUCUAGCCAUGGGCAGGUUGAAGGUUGGGUAACACUAACUGGAGGACCGAACCGACUAAUGUUGAAAAAUUAGCGGAUGACUUGUGGCUGGGGGUGAAAGGCCAAUCAAACCGGGAGAUAGCUGGUUCUCCCCGAAAGCUAUUUAGGUAGCGCCUCGUGAAUUCAUCUCCGGGGGUAGAGCACUGUUUCGGCAAGGGGGUCAUCCCGACUUACCAACCCGAUGCAAACUGCGAAUACCGGAGAAUGUUAUCACGGGAGACACACGGCGGGUGCUAACGUCCGUCGUGAAGAGGGAAACAACCCAGACCGCCAGCUAAGGUCCCAAAGUCAUGGUUAAGUGGGAAACGAUGUGGGAAGGCCCAGACAGCCAGGAUGUUGGCUUAGAAGCAGCCAUCAUUUAAAGAAAGCGUAAUAGCUCACUGGUCGAGUCGGCCUGCGCGGAAGAUGUAACGGGGCUAAACCAUGCACCGAAGCUGCGGCAGCGACGCUUAUGCGUUGUUGGGUAGGGGAGCGUUCUGUAAGCCUGUGAAGGUGUGCUGUGAGGUAUGCUGGAGGUAUCAGAAGUGCGAAUGCUGACAUAAGUAACGAUAAAGCGGGUGAAAAGCCCGCUCGCCGGAAGACCAAGGGUUCCUGUCCAACGUUAAUCGGGGCAGGGUGAGUCGACCCCUAAGGCGAGGCCGAAAGGCGUAGUCGAUGGGAAACAGGUUAAUAUUCCU
rnacentral:rRNA from 1 species